GAUUUUUUUAUUAGGAAUUAGAGUUUAAGAUUUUAAGAGUGAAACUGUGAAACUUUAUAAGUAGAUUUGAGGGGUCGGGAUGCGAUAAUACGUCUUAGAACACAUAUUUCACAUGUCAUGCCAGGAUAUGACAAUUUCACAUAUUUCACAUGUUCUGUAUUGAGGGAUUCAUUGAGGUCUCAACGUCAGCAUUCAUUUUUCUGCGAUAUCAAAUUGAUUACAAUGCUCCUUUUUCUGUGUACAAAAUUUGUUUUUUUUUCCUUUUUAU
rnacentral:lncRNA from 1 species